rnacentral:rRNA from 1 species
GACAGAGGGUGCAAACGUUGUUCGGAAUUAUUGGGCGUAAAGGGCGCGUAGGCGGCAUGGCAAGUGGAAGGUGAAAUCCCUCGGCUUAACCGAGGAACUGCCCUCCAAACUGUCUUGCUUGAGGCCGGGAGAGGUGAGUGGAAUUCCCAGUGUAGCGGUGAAAUGCGCAGAUAUCAGGAAGAACACCCGUGGCGAAGGCGGCUCUCUGGACCGUAACUGACGCUGAGGCGCGAAAGCGUGGGGAGCAAACAGG